rnacentral:rRNA from 1 species
UUUGGUUAAGUUAGAAAGGGCGCACGGUGGAUGCCUUGACACUAGGAGUCGAUGAAGGACGGGACUAACGCCGAUAUGCUUCGGGGAGCUGUAAGUAAGCUUUGAUCCGAAGAUUUCCGAAUGGGGAAACCCACCAUACGUAAUGGUAUGGUAUCCUUAUCUGAAUACAUAGGGUAAGGAAGACAGACCCAGGGAACUGAAACAUCUAAGUACCUGGAGGAAGAGAAAGCAAAUGCGAUUUCCUGAGUAGCGGCGAGCGAAACGGAACAUAGCCCAAACCAAGAGGCUUGCCUCUUGGGGUUGUAGGACAUUCUAUACGGAGUUACAAAGGAACGAGGUAGACGAAGCGACCUGGAAAGGUCCGUCGUAGAGGGUAACAACCCCGUAGUCGAAACUUCGUUCUCUCUUGAAUGUAUCCUGAGUACGGCGGAACACGUGAAAUUCCGUCGGAAUCUGGGAGGACCAUCUCCCAAGGCUAAAUACUCCCUAGUGAUCGAUAGUGAACCAGUACCGUGAGGGAAAGGUGAAAAGCACC